GGUAAUGCCGGAUGCUCCAGUUGACCGCAUGGUCCUCUGGGAAAGCUUUUGCGGUAUGGGAUGGGGUCGCGUCCUAUCAGCUUGAUGGCGGGGUAACGGCCCACCAUGGCUUCGACGGGUAGCCGGCCUGAGAGGGCGACCGGCCACAUUGGGACUGAGAUACGGCCCAGACUCCUACGGGAGGCAGCAGUGGGGAAUAUUGCACAAUGGGCGCAAGCCUGAUGCAGCGACGCCGCGUGCGGGAUGACGGCCUUCGGGUUGUAAACCGCUUUUGACUGGGAGCAAGCCCUUCGGGGUGAGUGUACCUUUCGAAUAAGCACCGGCUAACUACGUGCCAGCAGCCGCGGUAAUACGUAGGGUGCAAGCGUUAUCCGGAAUUAUUGGGCGUAAAGGGCUCGUAGGCGGUUCGUCGCGUCCGGUGUGAAAGUCCAUCGCUUAACGGUGGAUCCGCGCCGGGUACGGGCGGGCUUGAGUGCGGUAGGGGAGACUGGAAUUCCCGGUGUAACGGUGGAAUGUGUAGAUAUCGGAAAAAAACACCA
rnacentral:rRNA from 1 species